GAAUUUGAAAAAUCUGUACACCACAGGGAACUUCCUCAGGAUGGCUAGCAAACAGUUCACACCUGAGAACGGCCAAAACAGAGCAUUUGAUCUACUCAUUGCCUUUCACUUUGCUCUGUCCCCACAUGCUGACCUGUGUUCACGUCUUUGUUCCUCUGGCAGAGCAGCUUUAAACUGCGACCUUUCUUCACACAGGAGAAGGCCUCCCAAAUGACUGCAAAUUCAUCUUACUUUCCCCUUUUCAAGUCUCCUUUUCAGUGGCCCUUGGAAAUCUUUUGGUGGUUGAGAAGCUGCUGUGCUAUGACCCCUAUCCAACAUACUGAUCUAGCUUGUGACCUACUGUCUCUGUCUGCUGACCUGCUUUCAGCCUGUGCUGCCACAAAGAUGCUAAUCUCUCCGGGACCUGCUGCAAAGGAAGGAAGAACAGAGGAAGCUGUGGUGGCUGGCAGUCUGCCGGAGAGGAAACUGCCAGCGACCAAACCCCAUGUACUACAUCCUGAAUCACCUUGGAACUUUGCAAUCAAUCUGAACACUGAUUGGAGCACUCCCCCCGCACACAGGCAUCGGGAUUGAUCUCUGCUCAGUGAACUUUCCUCUGUGAACCAUUCUGAGAGCAGUGUAUUGUGAUAUUCUCCUAACCCUGUAAAUAUUCUUCUCACACUGUAAAGCAAAAGUUAUGUAUUCCUUAGUAAAAAUGAUUCUGAUUAA